GACGAAGGUGGCAACCGUUGCUCGGAUUCACUGGGCGUAAAGCGCACGUAGGUGGUUUGCUAAGUCAGCUGUGAAAUCCCCGGGCUCAACCUGGGCACUGCAGUUGAAACUGGCAAGCUAGAGUAGGGUAGAGGGGUGUGGAAUUCCAGGUGUAGCAGUGAAAUGCGUAGAUAUCUGGAGGAACAUCAGUGGCGAAGGCGACACCCUGGACUCAUACUGACACUGAGGUGCGAAAGCGUGGGGAGCAAACAGG
rnacentral:rRNA from 1 species